UACGUAGGGUGCGAGCGUUGUCCGGAAUUAUUGGGCGUAAAGAGCUCGUAGGCGGUCUGUCGCGUCGAUCGUGAAAACUUGGGGCUUAACCCUGAGCUUGCGGUCGAUACGGGCAUGACUGGAGUUCGGCAGGGGAGACUGGAAUUCCUGGUGUAGCGGUGAAAUGCGCAGAUAUCAGGAAGAACACCGAUGGCGAAGGCAGCUCUCUGGGACGGUACUGACGCUGAGACGCGAAAGCGUGGGGAGCGAACAGG
rnacentral:rRNA from 1 species